rnacentral:lncRNA from 1 species
UGAGGCGCUGCCUGGGCCGGGACAGGGAGUGGGAGGAAGCCGGAGCGCGGGGGGCUGCGCGGGGCCCCGACGGGGACGGAGCCGCGGGGACGGAGCCGCGGGCACCGCCCGGCGGGUGACACAGCGGGGGCUGCACCGAGGUGUCCCCAAAGCCCGUGUGCCCCCCAACAGCGGUGGGCAGCGAGGCCAUGGCGAUGCUGCUGGAGCCCGGGAUGCAGAGCCUGCGGAUGGGUGCCAGCGGCGAGCGGUUCCCGACGCCGUCCCCACCCGGCUCCCCGGGGACACCCCACGACAGCU